AGUGAACGCUGGCGGUAGGCCUAACACAUGCAAGUCGAACGGCAGCACAGUAAGAGCUUGCUCUUACGGGUGGCGAGUGGCGGACGGGUGAGGAAUACAUCGGAAUCUACUUUUUCGUGGGGGAUAACGUAGGGAAACUUACGCUACUACCGCAUACGACCUACGGGUGAAAGCAGGGGAUCUUCGGACCUUGCGCGAUUGAAUGAGCCGAUGUCGGAUUAGCUAGUUGGCGGGGUAAAGGCCCACCAAGGCGACGAUCCGUAGCUGGUCUGAGAGGAUGAUCAGCCCCACUGGAACUGAGACACGGUCCAGACUCCUACGGGAGGCAGCAGUGGGGAAUAUUGGACAAUGGGCGCAAGCCUGAUCCAGCCAUACCGCGUGGGUGAAGAAGGCCUUCGGGUUGUAAAGCCCUUUUGUUGGGAAAGAAAAGCAGCAGGUUAAUACCCCGCUGUUCUGACGGUACCCAAAGAAUAAGCACCGGCUAACUUCGUG
rnacentral:rRNA from 1 species